rnacentral:rRNA from 1 species
AUGCCUGCCGUCAAACCACCAGAGUGGGAUGCCAUGUCUGCCAAGGAGCAGUUGUUGUGGUAUCUCGAGAGGUUAUGCGCUCAGGCAGACGAGAUGAGCUCAGUGUUGGGUAUUGCACGAGUGGGUGACCCUCCCGUGGUCACCUCGCUUGUCGAUCCGGCGGCCUCAACCACAACGCACGCCUCACCUACUCCCGUCCCAGACGUCUCCGGCUCCACCACCAAGGUCCAGGAAGUGCUUGAGGUCAUCCAAGACGCGCCCCCUGCUUGCAUCGCGAUGGCGCACAUCAACUGUUCGACGGAUGGCUCGAACCAAGUUGUCGCCACCAACAGCGCCAACAAGGUCACCACCAUCUACCCCGAGCCCGUCAUCGACCUCAGCGACAAGAGGGUGGAGCAGUUCACUGACUCUACCGUGAGUGCCGAGUCCCUCGCAGUGGUGACCGCCACGGUGGUGUCUUCCAACCCGGGCAAGUACGCAGCGGUGGAGGCCCCUCCCGAUGUCCUCACCACACCUGCAGUACCUACCAGCAUUUCCUCAUCCACCACAAAGGCCAAGGAGGUCUUCGAGGUUGCUUAUGAUGUGCCCCAGGACAGCAUCACCAAGACACUCGUGAGUUAUUCGACGGAUUGUUCGAACCAAGUCGUUGCCACAUCGUCGUUCCGGGGCCAUGACCUGGACAUCUCGUUGCCCACAAGGCACCAAGGACUUUUGAUGCGGCCGACACCAUGGCCAUCGUUUCUGGCAGAUCAUAUGGCUGAGGGGAAUGAGAAUCGACCAACUCCAUGGCCAUCAUUUCAAAUCGGCGUGCCAUCAGAGGACAAGGAUGAUUCAUGUUUUAGUGAGAAGUUAUUUCAUGAAGGUAAAAAGUGGCUUUCAGAACUAUGUGAUUGCUCUAUUACUAUGGCUCCUCCAGUGCAGCAUUCGAAUCUAGCUAUCACGACUGCACAUCUACUUCUGAGCAUGCAGAAAAUGGUUGCUCUAAGCACCGAACGUUCAAGCAAAAAAAUUCUUCAGUUCAUGCAAUUUGGGCCCUAUGAACUAGUCUGCUACAAGCUUCAGGGUCCGAUUUCCAGUUUGUUUGCUAGUGUUGUUGUUCAGACUGUAUUCUCUGCAUAUACUAUUGAUUCACUUCUUCCGUGGGAAUUCGGUAGAUGUACAAUCAUGGGAAGGGCAACAAAAUGCAGUGGAGGAUACACUGUGCAAUUUGAGCCACGGCCUGUGUUCAAGUUCAGUCAAGAGACUAUCCAGCUGAAGCCACCUUGGCCAUCAUUUUCAUGCGAUUGA